GUAGAGCGUACAGAAACUGAUGGAGUAAGCUAAAGUGUGAGGGAUUGCUCCUCACUUUGUCCGCGAGUAAAUCUUCACUUUAUCAGGCGCUGUCAGGCAGGCGCCUCCACACGAGACUGAAAUAGCCGAGCGGUGCAGCUCCGCGUUAAGUGUAGUCUGCGGAUAAACGGAUUUUCCCUUUACUACCAGGACUAAAUUGACUCGCGAUUCAGAGGGAGAGUUAGUCAGACGGAGAGACAGCCUGACAGGCGGGCAGGCAGAGAGGCUGAUGAUGGUGCUCUAAGCGCGACCAGAUCCUCAUCCCGUCUUUCCUACCGUGCAGCUGAAAUGAGAAGGACCAGGACUGUGAUAGAAAGUGGAUCAGCUGUUGCCGGCCUGAGCUGAAGGUGACCUGUUGGCUGGGCCAAGGGCUGCAACACAGGACAUGGGUCCUGCUUCCCCUCCCCGCUCGUGUCUUGUGUUGCAGCCAGUGGAGCUGCCUGUCUGCCUCUCUGACGGUCUGUCAGCCCACUGCUGAUGGACUGAGCUCCCAUAACAGAUGGAUCCUACCAACCAUGGACCUGCUGACCCUGCUCCUCACUUUACAACAAAACUGUGCUGUAUCACUGUCAUUUUCACUGUAGUUUUCAACAUCAAUAUAUUGUCCUCUCUCACAGUUUAAAGGAAAUAAAAUACUUUAAAGGAAAA